rnacentral:misc_RNA from 1 species
CUCUCCCUCACCAAUUCUCUUCAUCGUUUGGGUUUGUAUAUAAUUCCCAGAACAAAUCACAGCUUAGAUUGCCAUUGAUUUUCAUCCAAAGCUUUCCCCCGCUCCUUCCUGCUUGUAUUUGGUGGGACAGAAUCCUCCAUGGGGGUUUCAUCAGAGACCAAAUUAUUGCAGAACCUCAUACUCUACGCUGCCAGUGCUGCUUUAAGUUGCUUGGUAUUAUUCGCAGGUCUUCGCCACCUUGAUCCCAACCGCGAGGCUUCAAAGAAAGCGCUCCAGCACAAGAAGGAGAUAGCCAAACGCCUCGGCCGCCCCUUCGUUCAGACUAAUCCUUACGAGGAUGUAAUUGCCUGUGAUGUUAUAAAUCCUGAUCACAUUGAUGUCGAAUUUGACUCAAUUGGAGGAUUGGAGACUAUCAAACAAGCACUAUAUGAACUAGUGAUACUUCCUCUGCGGAGACCUGAGUUAUUUUCACACGGGAAGCUUUUGGGUCCUCAAAAAGGCGUGUUGCUUUAUGGGCCACCUGGUACAGGAAAAACCAUGCUUGCAAAAGCUAUUGCAAGGGAGUCUGGGGCAGUUUUUAUCAAUGUUAGGAUUUCAAAUCUGAUGAGCAAGUGGUUUGG